rnacentral:lncRNA from 1 species
UGUGUAGGGUUUAUACAUGUUAAUUAAUUAGAUUAAUUAAUAAUUUUCACUGUAAAAUAGUGAUUUUGAAAAAGUUUUAAAAUUACUGUUUUACCCCUGCACUAAAAUUCACUUCACAAAGAAGGGGCAUGAAAAAUUUGAGAGGGGGGGGCGUCCAAGCAUGAGAAAUUGAGGAAGAACUCUUCGUCUUGGGCGUGAGGUCUAGGGUGGGUUCUAGGAUUUCUGAUUGCUCUAGUUUUAUGUGAGAAAAUCAUAAGAGAGUCUUGCUUUCUUUCUUCCACACCACCUCCUCCACAAUAAGCUCUAUCUUUUGAUUUGGAGAUAUCCGGGUGAUCAGAAGGAAGGAGUCUUAUCAUCCAUUCAGAGCCUUCUACUCAAGCUAGCACUCUCAGAAAGGAUGAUCUGUUCAAGGCUUCGAGUGAACUACCUGUAGAGGCCGGACGAUCUAUAUGACUGAUUGACAUCAGGAAGGACCUUAUACCAUAUUCAUCAGUAGCGACGAUCAUCGACCCACGAUAAGAUAAUGAAUUUUGAACUAAUCUGAUUAGAUCUAACGGCUAGAUCUGAUUCAAGACAUCGAUAUGAUCGUUGCAAUAUUUUCUUUUAUAUCGGAUUUUUUUAUGUGAAUAUUUCAUAUCAUAGAUCCUUAGAAAGAUAGUUUAGAUCAGAUCUAAAGUAUGUGUAGGAGAUUAUAUUGUUUAUUAUUUUUGCUAUAAAAAUUUUAAAAAUGCAUGCUUUGAACUAUCCAUUUUUCCUUCAUCUGUGAGAUCUAAGAGGGAACCAUAUCAGCCAUCAAAGAGGAGAUCUUUGUAAGGGAGCUAGCACCCCAAGAAGAUCAUCCCACCUCUGAUCGAAAUGAGUCCUCAUAUGGAUACCUGUGGAGGCAAAGCACGUGCGUGGCUAAAAGAACCAUUCAGAUCCAUGAUCAUCGCCUGUGAUAUAGUUCGACCCGCAUAAAGUAUUCAGAUUCGAUCUUAAUUAGUUAUUUAUUUUAUUUUUAGAUUAUAUGUAUGUCUUAGAUUUGGACAUGGAUAGUUAAUAGAUAUGAUCUAUCACAUGUGGGGUUAAAGGGUUUAACCUAGAUCUGCUUUCGCUGUUGAUUCAAAAUUGAUUUUGAAAUCUAUGCAUGCAAUCCUAUCCACUUUCUAACUUUCCAUACUCAUGAACAUAUUUGGGGUGUAGGAUGAUCGAACGAUUGAAUUGCAUAGUAACUUACCACUGAAGGAUAUAUUUGAUAUUUUUAUCAAAUUCUAUAACUUUUGGAUAGUCAUGAUACAUUGCUAGACGUCAAUCUUGAUUUGUAGAUUUUAUUGAAUUAAAAAAUUAAUUCAAUCUCUAAUUAAAAGAAUUCUAAUUAUUGAACUCAGAUUAACACAGUUUGG